rnacentral:rRNA from 1 species
AGAGUUUGAUCCUGGCUCAGGACGAACGCUGGCGGUGUGCUUCACACAUGCAAGUCGAACGGAGUAGCAAUACUCAGUGGCGGACGGGUGAGUAACACGUGGGAAUCUACCAUUAGGUGGGGAAUAACAGGCCGAAAGGACUGCUAAUGCCGCAUAUGUAGGCAUCUCGACAGAGAUGUUUAUGAAAGGAGUAAUCCGCCUUUUGAUGAGCCCGCGUCCGAUUAGCUAGUUGGUAGGGUAAAAGCCUACCAAGGCGACGAUCGGUAGGUGGUCUGAGAGGAUGAUCACCCACAAUGGGACUGAGACACGGCCCAUACUCCUACGGGAGGCAGCAGUAGGGAAUCUUGCGCAAUGGGCGAAAGCCUGAUGCAGCGACGCCGCGUGAGGGAUGACGGCCUUCGGGUUGUAAACCUCUUUCAGCACAGACGAAGCGCAAGUGACGGUAUGUGCAGAAGAAGGACCGGCCAACUACGUGCCAGCAGCCGCGGUAAUACGUAGGGUCCGAGCGUUGUCCGGAAUUACUGGGCGUAAAGAGCUCGUAGGUGGUUUGUCGCGUCUGCUGUGAAAUCUGGGGGCUCAACCCCCAGCCUGCAGUGGGUACGGGCAGACUAGAGUGCGGUAGGGGAGAUUGGAAUUCCUGGUGUAGCGGUGGAAUGCGCAGAUAUCAGGAGGAACACCGAUGGCGAAGGCAGAUCUCUGGGCCGUAACUGACGCUGAGGAGCGAAAGGGUGGGGAGCAAACAGGAUUAGAUACCCCGGUAGUCC